UGGGGAAUAUUGGACAAUGGGCGAAAGCCUGAUCCAGCCAUGCCGCGUGUGUGAAGAAGGUCUUCGGAUUGUAAAGCACUUUAAGUUGGGAGGAAGGGCAUUAACCUAAUACGUUAGUGUUUUGACGUUACCGACAGAAUAAGCACCGGCUAACUCUGUGCCAGCAGCCGCGGUAAUACAGAGGGUGCAAGCGUUAAUCAGAAUUACUGGGCGUAAAGCGCGCGUAGGUGGUUUGUUAAGUUGGAUGUGAAAGCCCCGGGCUCAACCUGGGAACUGCAUCCAAAACUGGCAAGCUAGAGUACGGUAGAGGGUGGUGGAAUUUCCUGUGUAGCGGUGAAAUGCGUAGAUAUAGGAAGGAACACCAGUGGCGAAGGCGACCACCUGGACUGAUACUGACACUGAGGUGCGAAAGCGUGGGGAGCAAACA
rnacentral:rRNA from 1 species